rnacentral:misc_RNA from 1 species
UUAAGCGAGUGGGCUCUGAAGUGGCUGGCUUGCGAAGGGGGUCGGCGCGCGCUGGUUCCCGUACGACGAGUUGAAACAUAACCAAAAACAACUCUCAGCAACGGAUAUCUUGGCUCUUGCAACGAUGAAGAACGCAGCGAAAUGCGAUACGUAGUGUGAAUUGCAGAAUUCCGCGAAUCAUCGAGUCUUUGAACGCAAGUUGCGCCCGAGGCUUGUCCAAGGGCAUUUCCGCUAGAGCGUCACCGCGCCCCCCACCGAUCCACUCGCGCCGCGAGGCGAGAGUCGGGUCGAGUGAAAGUGGCCGUCCCGGUGGGGCCUUCGCAAGAAGGCCUUUAAGGUUGGCUGAAAUGGAGGGAAUUGCGCCGCCGUGAUGACACAGUCCCGCGAUCGGGUGAUUUUUUUGGCUGUCCCUCCUUCGGGAGGGUCCGCCAGGAAUUUUUCUAAGUGCGUGGCUGCAUCACCCAGUUGG